UGAGGGGCAGAGAGCGAGACUUUUCUGUUUUCCAAAAGCUCGGUCUGAGGCCCCUCAGU
rnacentral:pre_miRNA from 1 species